rnacentral:lncRNA from 1 species
UGUCAGCAAUAAGCCUUCAAGUGAAUUAUACUAAUUAAUUUCUGUAGGUCAGCAUUAUCCAUCACCUCCAUCAUAAGACGAAGGGAAGCCUCAAUCCAGAAACCAAGUUGCAUUUCAAAAGCUUUUUUGAGUGGGUAUCCAGGGAUUGGAAUUCGUAGUUUUGCAUUUUAAAUGGGAUGUGGAGUUUAGAGAACCAGGACGAUGCCCAAGGGGUUAACUCUCUUUCUUCUCUGUAGAGGUCAUGCACAGGGGAGACUAGGAGCAAGUACUAGAAGGACCCAGUGGGGAUGCUCUUACUGCUGUCUUGGCAGUACUUGUGCUGCAAAUAAACAAACUUCAGUCCUGAAGACUCUCCAGUGUGUAACUUUGAAGGCAUGAAAUUCACACACACAGAAUGUUAUUUUCCAGAAGUGCAGUUUUGAUAUGUGGUCACUCCAUUUUGUACAACGCUUCAAUGUCUCUUGCUGGCUACUCAGAAUCCUGGUGCUUUGCUAGCAAGCUGACCUUGGCACUGGAUCUCCUAUCCAAGAACUUGCAUCUACAGAUGGACUUGGUACCCAGCUUUGUGAUAGAAGCCAUGGAGAUAAAUCUAAUUACCUGGAGCUCAAAGGGACUUUGGAAAGGCCUAAAAUCUUCAUUUGUCUUUGAGGUCAUCGUUUGCUAAACUUCAUGGAUGUUAAUUAUUUUUUGGCAGGCAAGAAAUACCAAAGAAUUUGGGAUCCUCUUAAGAAGACAUUGCUUUAUAUUUCAUAAUAUCCCUUAAGUGACUUGUGCAUGACAGGUGCUCAGUAAAUUCUUUCCAAUAGAUUGAAAUAAAUUCUGAACAGUUUGAGUUUGAUAUUUAUAU